rnacentral:rRNA from 1 species
CCUACGGGAGGCAGCAGUGAGGAAUAUUGGUCAAUGGGCGGGAGCCUGAACCAGCCAAGUCGCGUGAGGGAAGACGGUCCUACGGAUUGUAAACCUCUUUUGCCGGGGAGCAACGGGGUCCUUGCGAGGGCCCGAUGAGAGUACCCGGAGGAAAAGCAUCGGCUAACUACGUGCCAGCAGCCGGGGGAAUACGGAGGAUGCGAGCGUGAUCCGGAUGGAUUGGGGUAAAGGGGGGCGUAGGCGGGCUGUUAAGUCAGCGGUGAAAUGGCGGGGCUCAACCCCGGCCGGCCGUUGAAACUGGCGGCCUCGAGUGGGCGAGAAGUAUGCGGAAUGCGUGGUGUAGCGGUGAAAUGCAUAGAUAUCACGCAGAACUCCGAUGGCGAAGGCAGCAUACCGGCGCCCGACUGACGCUGAGGCACGAAAGCGUGGGUAUCGAACAGGAUUAGAUACCCCAGUAGUC